rnacentral:rRNA from 1 species
AAAUUGAAGAGUUUGAUCAUGGCUCAGAUUGAACGCUGGCGGCAGGCCUAACACAUGCAAGUCGAGCGGUAGCACAGGAGAGCUUGCUCUCCGGGUGACGAGCGGCGGACGGGUGAGUAAUGUCUGGGAAACUGCCUGAUGGAGGGGGAUAACUACUGGAAACGGUAGCUAAUACCGCAUAACGUCGCAAGACCAAAGAGGGGGACCUUCGGGCCUCUUGCCAUCAGAUGUGCCCAGAUGGGAUUAGCUAGUAGGUGGGGUAACGGCUCACCUAGGCGACGAUCCCUAGCUGGUCUGAGAGGAUGACCAGCCACACUGGAACUGAGACACGGUCCAGACUCCUACGGGAGGCAGCAGUGGGGAAUAUUGCACAAUGGGCGCAAGCCUGAUGCAGCCAUGCCGCGUGUAUGAAGAAGGCCUUCGGGUUGUAAAGUACUUUCAGCGGGGAGGAAGGUGUUGAGGUUAAUAACCUCAGCAAUUGACGUUACCCGCAGAAGAAGCACCGGCUAACUCCGUGCCAGCAGCCGCGGUAAUACGGAGGGUGCAAGCGUUAAUCGGAAUUACUGGGCGUAAAGCGCACGCAGGCGGUCUGUCAAGUCGGAUGUGAAAUCCCCGGGCUCAACCUGGGAACUGCAUUCGAAACUGGCAGGCUAGAGUCUUGUAGAGGGGGGUAGAAUUCCAGGUGUAGCGGUGAAAUGCGUAGAGAUCUGGAGGAAUACCGGUGGCGAAGGCGGCCCCCUGGACAAAGACUGACGCUCAGGUGCGAAAGCGUGGGGAGCAAACAGGAUUAGAUACCCUGGUAGUCCACGCCGUAAACGAUGUCGACUUGGAGGUUGUGCCCUUGAGGCGUGGCUUCCGGAGCUAACGCGUUAAGUCGACCGCCUGGGGAGUACGGCCGCAAGGUUAAAACUCAAAUGAAUUGACGGGGGCCCGCACAAGCGGUGGAGCAUGUGGUUUAAUUCGAUGCAACGCGAAGAACCUUACCUACUCUUGACAUCCAGAGAACUUAGCAGAGAUGCUUUGGUGCCUUCGGGAACUCUGAGACAGGUGCUGCAUGGCUGUCGUCAGCUCGUGUUGUGAAAUGUUGGGUUAAGUCCCGCAACGAGCGCAACCCUUAUCCUUUGUUGCCAGCGGUUAGGCCGGGAACUCAAAGGAGACUGCCAGUGAUAAACUGGAGGAAGGUGGGGAUGACGUCAAGUCAUCAUGGCCCUUACGAGUAGGGCUACACACGUGCUACAAUGGCGCAUACAAAGAGAAGCGACCUCGCGAGAGCAAGCGGACCUCAUAAAGUGCGUCGUAGUCCGGAUUGGAGUCUGCAACUCGACUCCAUGAAGUCGGAAUCGCUAGUAAUCGUAGAUCAGAAUGCUACGGUGAAUACGUUCCCGGGCCUUGUACACACCGCCCGUCACACCAUGGGAGUGGGUUGCAAAAGAAGUAGGUAGCUUAACCUUCGGGAGGGCGCUUACCACUUUGUGAUUCAUGACUGGGGUGAAGUCGUAACAAGGUAACCGUAGGGGAACCUGCGGUUGGAUCACCUCCUUA